ACCGAUGGGGACUAGAUAAGUGCAGAUGAAAAAAAUAUAUAUAGAAAAGUAUGAAACUUCAAAAGAAAAAAAAAAGAGAAAUGAAAAGUUAUGAGAAGUAUAAUAAAGAACUUAUCUAGAAAUAUUGAGGUUGGUAAAAAGCAUGCUCAAAAGAGUGCAUAAAAAACGAGAGAAAAAUAAGAGCCAACGAAUCCUAACAAGAACGGUGUCCAAAAGAAAAAGCUCUUAAUUGAAUGAUUGAACACAGUAAUGAGG
rnacentral:lncRNA from 1 species